rnacentral:rRNA from 1 species
GACGAACGCUGGCGGCGUGCCUAAUACAUGCAAGUAGAACGCACAGUUUAUACCGUAGCUUGCUACACCAUAGACUGUGAGUUGCGAACGGGUGAGUAACGCGUAGGUAACCUGCCUGGUAGCACGGGAUAACUAUUGGAAACGUAAGCUAAUACAGCAUAAUAUUGAUUAUUGCAUGAUAAUUAAUUGAAAGGUGCAAUUGUACCACUACCAGAUGGAUCAAGGUAGUAUUAGCUAGUAGGGGAGGUAACGGCUCACCUAGGCGAAGAUACAUAGCCGACCUGAGAGGGUGAUCGGCCACAACGGGACUGGAACCACGCCCAGGGCCCCAAGGGAAGGAACAAUCGGGAAACUUCGGCAAGAGGCGAAAGUCUGACCGAGCAACGCCGCGUGAAUGAAGAAGGUUUUCGGAUCGUAAAGCUCCAUUGUAAGAGAAGAAAGGGUGUGAGAGUAGAAAGUUCACACUGUGACGGUAUCUUAUCAGAAAGGGACGGCUAACUACGUG